rnacentral:rRNA from 1 species
UACGGGUGGCAGCAGUGGGGAAUAUUGCGCAAUGGGGGAAACCCUGACGCAGCGACGCCGCGUGUAGGAAGAAGGCCUUCGGGUCGUAAACUACUGUCAGGAGGGAAGAAACUGUUGAGGUAUAAUACGCCUCUUCAUUGACGGUACCUCCAGAGGAAGCACCGGCUAACUCCGUGCCAGCAGCCGCGGUAAUACGGAGGGUGCGAGCGUUAAGCGGAAUCACUGGGGCGUAAAGCGUGCGUAGGUGGCGCUUCAAGUCAGGCGUGAAAGCCCUCGGCUCAACCGAGGAAUUGCGUUUGAAACUGGAGUGCUAGAGUCUCGGAGAGGUUGGCGGAAUCCCAGGUGUAGGAGUGAAAUCCGUAGAUAUCUGGAGGAACACCGGUGGCGAAGGCGGCCAACUGGACGAGUACUGACGCUGAGGUACGAAAGCGUGGGGAGCAAACAGGAUUAGAUACCCCCGUAGUC